AUUAAGUUUCUUUAAAAAAAAUUUUAUUCGUUUAAGGAGCCCUGACAGUGAUAUAAAGCCAUAACGUUUGAGUCAGUUUGUGGUUGAACGCUGUGUUUUGCUGAUGGGUGCGGGGGCGAAGGGGUCUCGGCGAAAGCGUGGGCGAAGCGUUUCACCGUUAAGAGAAAGCACUUGCCUUAGCAGCGUGCGUUUCUAUCGCGAAUAAAAGAAAGCGAGACACUGGCAAAACAGAACCUUUUACAACGACCACGCAAACUCUGAGCUUUACUCGAAAAUGAAAGCCCCAUUCCAGGACAUCACAGCUCGACUCGAGAAAGAAUCGAAUCCUCAUGUAUUCGUCACCGUGGUGAACGAAAUGGAAUCGGUUCUUAUGGCGCCCGUGGUAAAUGAUUCAUGAGAUGGAGCUAGGUCUUGGUCACCGUGGUAAAAGCCGUCCAAGCACCCUCUUGGCAGUGUGAUUGGAGACUUUUACCGUAAUCUGAGAUCAGUCAUACCCGGCGAACUGCGUAGCACGCACCACGUGAUCAUCAAAA